rnacentral:tmRNA from 1 species
GGGGUUGACUGGAUUUGACAGCAAGUUGAGAUGGUAGGUAAGCACGCGGAGUGACGGCUGUAUACUCCUAAAUCCAUUCGGUCGGAAAAUUAAUUGGGCUUUAUCCUGUCACAAGGUGAUGGGACGAGACGUCGCUCCAAGGGUGUUGUUCCGAAUCUGAGGGUCAAGCGGCGCAGGAAAAUCGGAAAUAGUCAUGGCAGGCCCCGCUGCCGUGGUGAGAUUCAGGGGAUAAGGUUGCAGUUGGUGGUCCAGGUCUUGCUGCAGCACGAAAACCAAAGUCUGGAAUAAGCGUGUAGAAAGCUUAUGGUUUCCUUGUUUGGACGCGGGUUCGACUCCCGCCAGCUCCACCA